UUACGGCCACAUCAUGUUGAAACACCAGUUCCCCUACGAUCACCGAAGUUAAGCAAACUCAAGCCUGGUCAGUACCUAGAUAGAUGACCGCUUG